rnacentral:rRNA from 1 species
GCGAACUGGAUGUUGGGCACAACUUGGUGCCCAGUAUCGAAGCUAACGCGUUAAGUUCGCCGCCUGGGGAGUACGGUCGCAAGACUGAAACUCAAAGGAAUUGACGGGGGCCCGCACAAGCGGUGGAGUAUGUGGUUUAAUUCGAUGCAACGCGAAGAACCUUACCUGGUCUUGACAUCCACGGAACUUUCCAGAGAUGGAUUGGUGCCUUCGGGAACCGUGAGACAGGUGCUGCAUGGCUGUCGUCAGCUCGUGUCGUGAGAUGUUGGGUUAAGUCCCGCAACGAGCGCAACCCUCGUUCUAUGUUGCCAGCACGUGAUGGUGGGAACUCAUAGGAGACUGCCGGGGUCAACUCGGAGGAAGGUGGGGAUGACGUCAAAUCAUCAUGCCCUUUAUGUCUUGGGCUUCACGCAUGCUACAAUGGCUGGUACAGAGAGAGGCGAACCCGUGAGGGCAAGCGAAUCCCUUAAAGCCAGUCUCAGUUCGGAUCGUAGUCUGCAAUUCGACUACGUGAAGUCGGAGUCGCUAGUAAUCGCAGAUCAGCAACGCUGCGGUGAAUACGUUCCCGGGCCUUGUACACACCGCCCGUCAAGUCACGAAAGUCGGUAACACCCGAAGCCGGUGGCCUAACCCCUUGUGGGAGGGGGCCGUCUAAGGUGGGACUGGUGAUUGGGACU